AAAGUAGUGCCACAAGCUGCUUCUGUGGAUUACCUUUCAGCCAAAACAUUCAUUAAAAUAAUCGAAGAGGACCUCACCGCACUGACUUCAGAUGGAAUACAAGGCGCAAUUGGGAAACGAGUAAGGUUCCAGUGUGACUAUCUUGCUAUUGUUUGAACACUGCACAAUCAAACAUUGAGGGCUAAUAGUGGCGACGUUCACAGGACUGUAUAAACAGGAAGCAAGUUAAACUAGGGGAAUCCUGCCAGUGAUCAGACCUGGUGAAAUUACAUUGGGAUUUUCACUGCUGUUUUCAGCCUGUGUUGGAGGGAGACUGACCCUGAUGCUCCACUAACACUGAGCAAUUUGUGAAUACUUAGCCUCAGUCUCUGGUUACCGCGAGGAGAAAGUGAUUAAAAGCAAGAAAUGCUGAAACAAGUGUCUGGGCCUCCCACUUUCACCUCGGCGAUUCCGUUCCGGAUCCUGAACAAGGGACCCGAUUAUUUUCGAAAGCAGAUGGAGAGCAGCAACAGGAAGCCGAGUGCGGUAGAGCGCCUGGAAGCUGAUAAACUAAAAUAUGUGAAGAGCCAGAAAGUAGCGAAUACCCGUCAGGAGCCAGUAAAGGCGAGCGAGCCGGUCCUGUCCCCUACCAUUAGGAGGAGCCUUCACAGCCCCAGGAAAGCUGCGAGUGCUGGAGUCCGCAGGACAGAGAACACCGAUUGGAGGGGAGCCCUAAACCUGGAGACUCUGAGAAACCUCAUUUAUGAGGCUCCAAACGCACCAGGCAGCCAGGCUGAUCCGGGGGAGGGGACCCCCGACUGUAGCCCAGGGAAGCUGCCGCGCUGUGGCCACCCGGAGCCGGGGGAGAGGCUGGGAGCUGAGCUGCACUCCAGCAGCGUGUUGGUGCCGCCUCACAACGCAGCCGUCCGGAGGGUGGAUGUCCGUCCCAAUGUCAGUAGGGCCGGCUGGAGACCAGCGUGCCCCUCCGUGGUCAGGUCCAGGCUAUCCUCCGCUGCCAGCUCCAGGGGCUCGCCGAGGAAAGCCUACCCCGAAGCGGUGGCCCGGCCACAGCUCUCCCUGCACCGCUCCAAGUCAGACCUGAGCGACCGCUAUUCCCGGGUCAGUGCCAACUUGGAGCGAUUCUUCAACUACUGCGGCCUGGACCCAGAGGAACUGGAGAGGAUGGAGAUAGGGGAAUGUUUGGCCCGAGCCAGCUCUGAUAUCGUAUCCCUCAAGCUGUACAGCGCUAGCAACCUCAGUUCGGAGUACAACCGUUCCCAAUACAGCAACGUGAUUGAGGAGAGGGCGAACGAACGCAUCCCAUAUGGCAUCUCCAUCAUUGAGCGCAAUGCCAGGGUCAUUAAAUGGUUGUACAGCUGUAAGGAAGCCAAGGAGUCUCAGAGAGUGUCACCCGUAUAACGAAGGAGGUCCCGGGACAACGGAGAAGGAACAAAGUCCUUAAAAAAAAUUCCAUGAUCUUGUCUUUGAUAAACUCAUAAUUUCAUUGAGACAAUGAAAUUUAAACUACUUGCUACGUACUGCCACCUACUGUGUUUAGUGGUAUGAUAUAUUUUAAAGGGCUGACGUGUUUGGAGAGUUUAAACUGUGAAAAUAAAGACUCAACAAAUUGAAAACUUCAAACAGUAUAUCGCAGCUUGCUGAGUAUCAACUGAAUAGAAUUGAUGUAAUUUAGUUCAAAAACAUGCUGAAGAUCUUCCAUUAAAUAUGUGACUGAAUCUACCACUAAACCAAAAAUAAGGACCAUGUUUUUAUGCCAGAUUUUUUAAAUAGUUAAACCAGGCAAAAAAUAUUCAAGGAAUAUGUACACAUCUACUUCUAUUUGUUAAGUUUUUUUUUAAAAUAUUAAAGCCUAAGAGUAGUAAGUAAAAUAGCGCAUUUGAAAGUUUGUAGUAGGUCCAUUUCAGUUUAAGCCUUGGGUACAAAGUCUUAAUUCAAAUGAAUUGUCUACUCCAAAUGUUUCUUCAUCCCUAUUUCAGAUAGGCUUUGCUGUACUUCCGUUUCCAAGCAGUGGGAUGUUAUUUUCCUAUCAGUGGUAUAAAUGUCAUACUUUAUCAGGAUUAAGGAUCACCAAAUACUGGUACAGUCUGCCACGUACAUGCAUCUCAUGAGAGAUGCUGCCAGACCUGCUGAUCUAUUCCAGCAGCUUCUGUUUUUGCUCCUUUCUUUUUCAGUUUGACACCAACAUAUUUUGAUUCUUGACCAUCCUGCAAUUGCCUACCUAGCUAUUCAGUUGUUGGAAAAGUUUUAUCACCGCGUUCUCUAGGCAACCAGGGAUUGUCAGUAAAAA